AGGAGGAACAACCGCAGUGGCGGGGCCAGCUCUGGAGCCCUGGGUUCAGCCCCCACAGCAACUCCAGAGCUCUCCAUCUGCAGGGCCUGGAGGCUCCGGGGCGGG
rnacentral:pre_miRNA from 1 species